rnacentral:rRNA from 1 species
GACGAACGCUGGCGGCGUGCCUAAUACAUGCAAGUCGAGCGAACCCGGGGUGCUUGCACCCUGAGGGUUAGCGGCGGACGGGUGAGUAACACGUGGGGAACCUGCCUUGCUGUCUGGGAUAACACCGGGAAACCGGUGCUAAUACCGGAUGUCCCCUUUCCGGCACCUGCCGGAGAGGGAAAAGGCGGCUUUGAGCCGCCGCAGCAAGAGGGGCCCGCGGCGCAUUAGUUAGUUGGCAGGGGAACGGCCUCCCAAGGCGACGAUGCGUAGCCGACCUGAGAGGGUGCGCGGCCACACUGGGACUGAGACACGGCCCAGACUCCUACGGGAGGCAGCAGUAGGGAAUCAUCCGCAAUGGACGAAAGUCUGACGGUGCAACGCCGCGUGAGUGAUGAAGGUUUUCGGAUCGUAAAGCUCUGUUGUGAGGGAAGAAUAGGAUGGGGAGGAAAUGCCCGAUCUGUGACGGUACCUCACCAGAAAGCCCCGGCUAACUACGUGCCAGCAGCCGCCGUAA